CCUACGGGUGGCAGCAGUGAGGAAUAUUGGUCAAUGGACGAGAGCCUGAACCAGCCAAGUAGCGUGAAGGAUGACGGCCCUAUGGGUUGUAAACUUCUUUUAUAUGGGAAUAAAAUGUUCCACGUGUGGGGUUUUGUAUGUACCAUACGAAUAAGGAUCGGCUAACUCCGUGCCAGCAGCCGCGGUACUACGGAGGAUCCGAGCGUUAUCCGGAUUUAUUGGGUUUAAAGGGAGCGUAGGUGGGUGGUUAAGUCAGUUGUGAAAGUUUGCGGCUCAACCGUAGAAUUGCAAUUGAUACUGGCAGCCUUGAGUACAGUAGAGGUAGGCGGAAUUCGUGGUGUAGCGGUGAAAUGCUUAGAUAUCACGAAGAACUCCGAUUGCGAAGGCAGCCUACUAGACUGCCACUGACGUUGAUGCUCGAAAGUGUGGGUAUCAAACAGGAUUAGAUACCCUUGUAGUC
rnacentral:rRNA from 1 species